AACGAACGCUGGCGGCAUGCCUAACACAUGCAAGUCGAACGAGACCUUCGGGUCUAGUGGCGCACGGGUGCGUAACGCGUGGGAACCUGCCCUUAGGUUCGGAAUAACUCCCCGAAAGGGGUGCUAAUACCGGAUAAUGUCUUCGGACCAAAGAUUUAUCGCCUUUGGAUGGGCUCGCGUUGGAUUAGCUAGUUGGUAGGGUAAAAGCCUACCAAGGCGACGAUCCAUAGCUGGUCUGAGAGGAUGAUCAGCCACACUGGGACUGAGACACGGCCCAGACUCCUACGGGAGGCAGCAGUGGGGAAUAUUGGACAAUGGGCGAAAGCCUGAUCCAGCAAUGCCGCGUGAGUGAUGAAGGCCUUAGGGUUGUAAAGCUCUUUUACCCGGGAUGAUAAUGCCAGUACCGGGAGAAUAAGCUCCGGCUAACUCCGUG
rnacentral:rRNA from 1 species